rnacentral:rRNA from 1 species
UACAGAGGGGGCAAGCGUUGUUCGGAAUUACUGGGCGUAAAGGGCGCGUAGGCGGCCUUCUAAGUCGAACGUGAAAUCCCCGGGCUCAACCCGGGAACUGCGUCCGAUACUGGAAGGCUUGAAUCCGGGAGAGGGAUGUGGAAUUCCAGGUGUAGCGGUGAAAUGCGUAGAUAUCUGGAGGAACACCGGUGGCGAAAGCGACUUCCUGGACCAGUACCGACGUUCAGGCACGAAAGCGUGGGGAGCAAACAGG